UCUUCAUCGCUGGAUGUGAAAAGCAGCUAGGACUUCAAUUCUGCUGACAGCUGUUUCCUACUCAGCUAGUGAUUUGGAACUGAAUCUGAAAGUGAAAGGACUACCUGCUUCUAAAGCCUCGCUCUACAUAAUGCACCCAGAAGGUCUCCGACGAUGAACAGCGGCUCACUGUUCUUGCAGUUCUCUGAGGGUGGAAGUUAACAAUUUCCUGAAAAUGGACUCACUGUUCAAAACUAC
rnacentral:lncRNA from 12 species